rnacentral:rRNA from 1 species
CGAGCUAACUGAMAGCAUAUAUAAUCUAAAGUUAGGAAUCUUAUAAUUUUUAUUAUAAGUUUAAAGACGAAUCUAACUAACAGUGUCGUCCAAAUUCUGGUGCCAGAAGACUCGGUAAUACCAGAGACGCGAACGUUAAUCAUCUUGAAUGGGCAUAAAGGGUUUGUAGGCGGCUUAUUUAUUAAUAGGCUAGAAUCUUAUAGAGGUUAAUAAAAUACUUAGAGGAGGGCUGAUAUCCUUAGAUCCUAAGUGGAAUCCUAAUUGCGAAGGCCAUUUUCCACUACAGAUUGACGCUGAUACACGAAGGUUAGGAUAGGAACUAGGAUUAGAGACCCUAUUACCCCUAACUGUAAACGAUGAAUGGAAGAUAUUUACAACUGUAAGUGUCGAAGUGAAUACGAUAACCAUUCCGCCUUGCCAGUAUACUUGCAAAAGUGAAA